AAAGUGUCUUCACAGUCCGGGAAAGAGUUAUUCCAGUACAAGCCUGCGCAGAUGAAUUUGUAAAAGCUCGCAGUUUUUAUCCUUAUCAUAGCAACGUUUUGGUAAACUGAAUGCUCUGUUACAAGCCCGACAAAGCAUAAAAAUUACAAAGACUCGAGAGCAUUUAGAGUUUCUCAAAAUCAGAAAGACUAACAUUUGCUUUUGCAAUUCAAGGUACUAGCUGAAUUGUAGGAAAGGAGCGAUUGCUAAAUGGUUUGGUCCUCCCUUCUGCUACAUUAAGCACAGUCACAACGCUACUAUUUAGGCCGAUAUUUGGGAUAUCCACUGCGGUCCAUAUUCAACGGAACGUCAAGUCUAAAGGACGGCACACUUCGAGAAGUAUGUUGAAAAGCUCCGCCUGAACUCUUCUUAUUUCGAUUCAUAUCUUAUUCAAUCUUUAUGUUAUAGUUAACUUUCGACUUCUUCAACAUAAUAUUAAGAGAGGGCUUCCGGGUUUAUUAAGAUGAUUUGGUCGAAUUAUUAGCCUACCAAGGUUAUCAAGAAUGCAAAAUCAUUUACCGCAUCCGUGAACUUCAAACUCAUGAUGUUUUAUUUAAACCUAGCAUUAGAAUAACAAAGUCAGUAAAGCUGUUUCUCAACUUUUUAAAAUUGUAAAUUUUUGACUGCAAGUCUCUUCUUUCUAUCAUCGAUCUUUUUUUAAUACCUUCUUGGUACCAUGUUAAAACAGAACUACGUAUCUGCAAAAUUUCCGAGAAAGUGAAAUGUUAACAGGGUUUGAUUGAUCAAGUCCCAAUCAAUUGUUAUUCAAACUAAGGUGAAAGUAGGUUUUCAGAGAAAAGAAAACAAAGAAACGUUUAAAGUGUCUUCACAGUCUGGGAAAGAGUUGUUCCAGUACAAGCCUGCGAAGGUGAAUUUGCAAAAGCUCACAUUUUUAUAUCCUUAUCGGAGCUACGUUUUGGAAAACUGAAUGCUCUGUUACGAGCCCCACAAAGCAUAAAAAUUACGGAGACUUGAUAGCUUUUAGAUUUUCUCAGGAUUAGAAAAGACUUUAACAUUUGCUUUUGCAAUUCAAGGUACUAGCUGAAUUGUAGGUAAGGUUGCAGUUUCAUUGGUUAUGAUGUAAUUACUGUUUUAAGCCAAAGAAUCUUUUAUGAUUAGUCCUUGUCUCAUGGAAGAGUCGACGAUUUACAAUGGAGACGCUGAUAAGAUCGCGGAGAUCGUUUGUUUUUCAGUUGAAGAAAACUGUCAAUUGUAGCACGUUUUAGUGAGUAAUUGCUAUAACUAGGAAAGCAGUGAUUGCUAAAUGGUUUGGUCCUCCCUUCUGCUGCAUUAAGCACAGUCACAACGCUACUAUUUAGGCCGAUAUUUGGGAUCCACUGCGGUCCAUAUUCAACGGAACGUCAAGUCUAAAGGACGGCACACUUCGAGAAGUAUGUUGAAAAGCUCCGCCUGAACUCUUCUUAUUUCGAUUCACAUCUUAUUCAAUCUUUAUGUUAUAGUUAACUAUCGACUUCUUCAACAUAAUAUUAAGAGAGGGCUUCCGGGUUUAUUAAGAUGAUUUGGUCGAAUUAUUAGCCUACCAAGGUUAUCAAGAAUGCAAAAUCAUUUACCGCAUCCGUGAACUUCAAACUCAUGAUGUUUUAUUUAAACCUAGCAUUAGAAUAACAAAGUCAGUAAAGCUGUUUCUCAACUUUUUAAAAUUGUAAAUUUUUGACUGCAAGUCUCUUCUUUCUAUCAUCGAUCUUUUUUUAAUACCUUCUUGGUACCAUGUUAAAACAGAACUACGUAUUUGCAAAAUUUCCGAGAAAGUGAAUGUUAACAGGCUCCUAAUGAGGGCUGCCUAUAUCGACAUUCAAAUCAAGUUGAUCAGUCUUCCCCAAUUUAAAUCGGAAUAAAAAAAAAAAAAAGGUUUUAAAGAAGGCAUAGGAUGAAAAAUGCUGUGCCUUAGCGUCUUUGAAUUCAGUGAUACAUUGUAAGGCAACCAUUGCUAAUUAAACGCACUUGACCAUAGCCGUUGCAUUACGGGCUUGCAGAAUUGAAUUUAUAGCAAUUUGUACGCCCCAAUUUCCUUGAGAAAAUGGUCUAAAAACAGAAUAACAAAGUCAGGAAAACUUUUUCGCAACUGUUUAAAAUUGUUUCUUUUGACUGCAUGUCUCUUCUUUUUUCAUCGAUCUUUUUUAAUGCCUUCUUCGUACCAUGUUAAGGCAGAAGGAAGGUGCAAAAUUUCCGAGAAAGUGAAAUGUAAACAGGCCCUAUCGAGGGCUGUGUAUAUCGACACUAAAAUCAAGUUCUUCGCUUUUCCUAGUCGAAAGGAAUUAAAUAAAGUUUAUAGAAGCCUUUGGACGAAAAAUGCCCUUCCUUAGCUUCUUUGAAUUUAGUAAAACAUGUUGUAAAGCAAUCACGUAAUGACUUUCAAGUAUUCAUCGCAUUGGUUGUUAAUAUGAACGAAUAUCGCUAUGAAGAAUGUUCCUAUAACUUGAACUUUUAGUCGGUUUUCUUUCUCAAUUUACCACUGAGGAAUUUAAUAUUUAAGUCUUCUUGAGCCGCUAUAAACAAAAACUUUACUUACACACACCCGUGUGUAAAGAAGAUGACGUGAGCUUUUGUUGUUGUUUUUUACCUGGCUGCAGAGUUGCCGUCCUGUUCAGCUGCAGUGCAGUUUUCCUUCUCUUUAAAAUCUGGAAGAAACUAGCGAAGAACUGCCCAAUUUUUCUAUCGACAUUGACCUUUUAGGUCCUGAUCCAACAAGCAGCAAAAACAAAGGCGAAAAAACUCGCAAGUUGCGUGUUUCGCAAAUUUGUUGGAAGACCACCUGCAGCAAAUUUUGGGUCUUUGACUUUUAAAGCAUUUAUAGUGACUCUUGAGUUCAUUUAGCGUUGAUUUUCUCUAUUUUGUCCGUUAAUUUUAAGCUUUUCAUUUGGCAGCUAUCGGUUAACUGGAUCAUAUGUUCUUGCUCAAACCAAAGUAUAAAAUGUGGUGUGUUCUUGACCAGCCAAUAAGGACGUUCGUUUACUUUUUUGUGCGUCGUGAUAAUUUUACACUCCAUCACAAUAAGCCCCCCCCCCCAAAAAAAAAAAAAAAAACAAACCAACAAACAAACAAAAACGAAAAAAAUAUAACACUAGAAUAGCUCUCUGCUGCGCCUCGAGCUACUCUUACGCAUUUUUCGUGCUGUCCGAACUUUCCGCGUGCAUCCAUAACUCGAUAUACGCACGCUAGGCAUGAACAAAUUCUUCAGUUUUGAUUCCUUUAAGGGCCCGCGAGCAGCCCGUUUAAUUGUGAAUGACGGUUUGUACAUUAUCGGUCCUGAGUAAGAAGAAUGCGAUACAUUCCAUCAAAGUAGUGAUAAUACAAAUUUCUUUUCAAAACGUGACACUGCCUCUAACCUAUCAAAUGUUUUCUUCGGGUCAACUCACGGUUCCUUUUACUUUAUUAUUUCAGGAUUAGUUUCCCUGAGAUUUUUAAUUAAUUCAACGUGUUAUGAAGAGUGCGUAGCGUUACGGAACUGCUAAAAAUAGAAAUAAAGAAAUUUCUAGAACGCUUUGUCAUGCUGACUCAUUGAGAACUCUUAAUAGAACUUUCUAGAACCCAUAGACAGCAUAUUUUGUUAUGAUGCAAUAGCGAUGUCAUGCUACUAAAAAUACUUGUGUUUUAGAUCUCUAGAACGUUCUGUAACAUUUUGUAAAAGAUAUAUAAGGAGUCGCGAUCGGUUAAAGUUAGGUCGUUACAGUGAGUUAGUGCUGUCACGAAGAGCCCAGAGGAGUUAGUGACGGAAUCGUCAGCCGUGUGGAAGGCUACGUUGGAGAAGGUUUAAGUAGACGUCGACAAGUUACGAGGAUGUCUGAAGGGAACUGUGAGUUGCGCAGUAGUGCACUAAGAUUAUAGUUUUUAUAGAGGGCUCUAAGGUAAUGUAAUGUAAACUUUAUUUAUACACGGAGAAUCAUCAGUUAAGCUAAAGGUAAAAACUAAAACUAUUACAACUGUUUUACAUGAUUGCCGCGUGGGAAACCGAUAUCUCAGAUACCUUCUUAAUACCGCGUUUAAACUGCCCAAUAGAACCAACGCCUUUCAAAUCUUGGGGCAAGUUAUUCCACAAACAAGCCCCGCUAUAACAAAAGCUUCGUUUCAAGUAAUUAGUAUUUGGCUUGGGCAGCGAGGGUUUUCCUGAAAGAUUUCUUAAGUUAUAAUCAUUAACAUGGCGUUGAGUGAAAAGACAUUGAAGAUAUUCUGGGGCAAGUUCAUUCCGGCAAUGUUUUAUACAUAAUUAAAGCUUUCUGUUUUUUACGACGAAGAGGCAGCUUCUCCCACUUAAGCAUUGCUAGAAGGAGGUUGGAUUUCGUAUCAAAAGGUGAUUUAGUUAUUACUCUGGCUGCGCGAUUUUGUAAUUUCUGUAAUUUGUCACUCAAAUAGCCUCUCAUACAAUCCCAGACCGGGCUGCAAUAAUCAAAAUGUGGUAAUACUAAAGCAUUAUAAAUUUGAACUGCAUCAUCCUUCGAAAUAAAAGGUCGUACACGUUUUAAUGCACCAAUGGCUGAAGAAGUUUUCUUGCAGAUCUCGUCAACGUGUUUAGACCAAGAGAGUUGAGCAUCAAUGGUAAGACCCAGAGAUUUAGUAUGAUCAGCUCUCCUGAUCGUCCUGUUAUCAAUAUUGAUAUCAAUCUCCUCACAUUGGGCAUUCAAUCUCUGCCUAGAUCCAAUUAUCAUUAAUUCAGUUUUGGCCACAUUUAAACUUAAUCUGUUCGCUCUCAGCCAACAGGUAAGGUUGUUAACAAUACUAGCAGCUAUUUUAAACAAAUUACUUGGGAUCAUAUCGAAGCCAGUGGCUUUCUUUUCAUCAAUUUUCUGAAAUAGACUAAACACAACAUCGGCACUAGGAGUUUUUAGACAAAAUGUUUUAUCGGUGUACGAAAGGUAAAACUCGGGAUCUACUUCUGCAGCUGGAACCUCUUGGGCCAGUACUUGCGCAAUAUUUGUGAAGUGUUCAUUAAAAGCUCCCGCCAUGUCGCCAGGAGUGCUUAUUGUUCUAUUGUCAACUUGGAUUUCUAAAAUAUUGUACGAUUUACUUGUGUUACGUGAGCUUAACUCGUUGGUGAGAUUCCAUGUUUUGCGCCGGUUGCCUUUGCUAGCUUCCAAGUUAUCAGAAAAGUAGCGUUACUUUGCGUAUUUGAUUGCAUUAUUUGCUUGGUUUCUAGCACGUUUAAAUUGCUCCCACAUAUCAUGGUUUUUCGAAGAAGUUGCUUUCUUUUUAUCAAAUCUCUUCUAUUCAUUUUAUGCAAUAACCCUCUAGUAAUCCACGGAGCUCACUUUUUACUAAUUCUUUUUAGUUUGCGUGGCGCGUGUUUGUCUAUGCAGCUGACAAACAUUUGUUUCCAUUUUUGCCACAUGUCAUUCGGAUCAGAACGCAAAUCAACAUUCGACCAUGGCAUCUGUUCAAGAUCACUCAAGAAUUUGGUUUUUGAAAGUGUUUAAAUUGUCGCAUUUUGAUCGUUCUUGGGCAACGACGCUCAUGAUGGACUUUACGCGUCAUAAACACAAGAGAAUGAUCACUGAUCCCAAGGUGAAUGAUACCUGAAUUCGUAACCUUCUCUGGGGAGUUGGUGAUACAUACAUCAACGAGUGUCUUAGAGACGGGAGUCACGCGUGUUGGUUCAGUGAUUGAGUGACGAAGACCAUAGGUGUCAAAAAUGUUUGUUAAAUAUGAGGAAUUAUGAGCGGAAGCUUCUGGUAACAAAUUGCAGUUAAGAUCACCAAGGAGAUAUAAUUCCUUAUUUUCAGCGUCAGUAUUGUCAAUUACAUUUUCAAACUCAUUGAAACGUCCAGGCUCUAUGUUAGGAAGAUAGUUAUUGUAUUGGUAUUGGUAUCGCUCCGUGGUAAAACUAUUACGUCAGUUAAUAAAGUAGUUGAGUUGGCACGAGUUGUAUCUUUCUAACGGUUGAGGAAAUACCGUAGAAAACGAAACUCCAAGAAACGAGAGAGUUCAAAGAAACAAACUCUUGCUUUUUUCCCUCAUAAUUCCUGAAGUGGACGCAGCUUUCAUCAUUAAAUCAUAAUUUUGAAAUUCACGAGUCAUUUAGACUGAAAACUUGCAUGUGAAUUAUCCUUGAUUUCUUAUUUUGCAAUAUAUUUCAACCACGAUUACGAAAAGCGUCACCAGCAUCAUAAUGGUUCUAUAGCCAGCAGUCAUCCCGUAUGCGUAAAUCAUGUCUUAUUAGUUUCAGUAGUACUUUUCAGUCGAGAAAAUAAAACGUAAACAUGGUUUAAUUUAUCAGGUCCAAAUCUAUUGUUAUUCAAACUAAUGUGAAACCUGUUUUUUAGAGAAAAGAAAACAAAGAAACGUUUAAAGUGUCUUCACAGUCUGGGAAAGAGUUGUUCCAGUACAAGCCUGCGAAGGUGAAUUUGCAAAAGCUCACAUUUUUAUAUCCUUAUCGGAGCUACGUUUUGGAAAACUGAAUGCUCUGUUACGAGCCCCACAAAGC